AACUCUAAAUCCCAGACCUACAGAACUUAUUCAACCUAAUUCCUAAAUUGUGAAAAAUAACAUACUAAAUUCUUUUAGGAAAUAUGAAUAAAAAACAGUGAACAUUCCAUACACACAAACUAACCCUUUAAUAUUGGAACAAAAUAAAGCCAGAAAAAACUAAAAUGAGCGAAGCCAAAAAGCAAAUUCUAAAAGCUAACCUUUAAAAAAUAAACAGAACGGGCGAAACUUAAACUUACCUAC
rnacentral:lncRNA from 1 species